UACGUAGGGUGCAAGCGUUGUCCGGAAUUAUUGGGCGUAAAGAGCUCGUAGGCGGUUUGUCGCGUCUGCUGUGAAAACCGGAGGCCCAACCUCCGGCCUGCAGUGGGUACGGGCAGACUAGAGUGCGGUAGGGGAGAUUGGAAUUCCUGGUGUAGCGGUGGAAUGCGCAGAUAUCAGGAGGAACACCGAUGGCGAAGGCAGAUCUCUGGGCCGUAACUGACGCUGAGGAGCGAAAGCAUGGGGAGCGAACAGG
rnacentral:rRNA from 1 species